UGGAGCGGGAAGCCGGCAGGCGAGCAGAUUUGCAUGUAAUCCAAUAUCCUCCCCCACCCCAAAACCACCAUUCAUUUGAGUGGACCUAUGCUUACGGUAACUCAUGCGGUGAUACAGUUGUCUAUGCAUGCUGUGCCCACUGCCCUUCAACUGAACCAUGGACUACAGUUCAAGAGAUCCAGACAAUAACCAUCUGCCUUACACAGAUGGGAUCAGACAUGCAGCUUCCCUUGAAGACCAUCCAGAAAGUUCAACUAGUCCGAAGAAUAAUCCCCAGGAGUAGAAGACAUCUGAAGGCAGCCUUGUAUUGGGAAGUUUUGAAUGCUUGAUGCUUUACUAUGCUUUUAUAUAUGCUGUACACCACCCAGACCCAGCCAGAUGGAUGGGGUAUAAAUUAUACACACACACACACACACACACACACACACACACACACACACACACACACACACCACAUUAGAGAUCAGAGCACACAUACAAGAUAUUUGAAAUCUUAACUAACUAUUUAUCCAAUCUCUGGCAGAAUUCAAGGUGCCUAGCAUUAAGCUUUAAAGCUUUUAGUGGCCCUGGAACAACACACCCUUCUCUCAUAUAUAUAAAUACUUUUUUUUUAAAAAAUGUAACUUUAACUUGAUUUGUGCUUGACUAUUGUGUAUUUUGUGAAACAUGUUGCUUAUCUGUACAUGUCAGGCUUGGCAGCCUGCAAUUUUUGCAAGGUUUAUUAUAGGUUAUGGAGGGAAAUAUGUCUUACCAUGAUGUACAGGGAAUGUUUAACUUUAUACCACUUAAGUGUAACUAAAUAAACCCCUUCAAAGAUGAGUCCUGUCUCACACUUGACUGCAAACGAAGGACAUCAUUUAUCCUCUGGAGCCAAUCUGUCUCACUAAAGAUAUAUUUAAGUGCAGAAGAUACAAUGUCAUCACACUUUUCUUUUCUUUACAAACAAUGACAAAGGGGAUAAUUUGUUACUCAUAGGGUUUAAAGAGCAAAUUGGAGUAGUCAACAUAAUUAUUGCCUUGUCCUUUUAAAAAAAUGACAACGCAGUCCUCUUUAGAUCAUUUUGCAUGAACUUAUUCUGUGAAGCCCAAUGGAUUGAAACAAAAACAAAGGGCAAGAUAAUGCUUACUCUGUGGUUAGAAUAAAGAUCUUCACUAACAUAAUCCGAGGAAAGCUUGCCUUCUGAGAUUCAAAUAAAUUAUGAUUAAGCAGAUUUGCCAAUAUUUUGAUAUUUUGCACAAUAGAUUCUGCUUCUGAAAUGCUUGAGUGUAGCACUGUGUAAGAUGCUGUGUGCGUGCAAGAGAGAGAUGCAAACUGAGGCUUCAGCCCUAACCUCCUGAAAUUCUAGAUCCACAUUGCUUCUAUGUUGCUUUUAGAUUGGACUUCCUUAGGGUUGUAAUUUAGCCUGUUAUAUACAACUUCUUGCCUACUCUGGAUUAUUCUACUUGCUUCUGGCCCUUUGGAACUUCAGCUGCUGCUUUUGGAACUCAACUCCUUACUUGUCUUGGAUAACACUCCUUCUAACUUGUUCAGGUUGACAGCUUACGCCCCAGAGCCUGAGAACUGAACUGCUGCUGCCCAGUACUACCAGAAACCAAGUUUUUAUAGGCCUCCCUGUGAUUAAAGUGUAUCAUGAUGAUGAGUAUAUACCAUCCCUAGUGGAACAUACCAGCUAGUAUUAACAUCUCCUGCAUAACUGAAGUAGUAGAGCCAUUUAUUGUUGUUUAGAAUAAGUCAUCACAGCUAGACAUACUCAAUACACAAUUUUUAAACUCCUGUGUUAUGUUUGUGUUUUAAAACUGCUUUCAUGAGUUUUAUGGCAAUAAAAAUAAAUAUGCUGCUCUACUUGUGAGUCAUAAAUAAUACUUGGCUAUGAUCACAGAGACCAUGGGAAUUCUGCAUUCUGAAACCAAAUGUCUAUAACACUUGACAUUUCUGGAUGUCAGCAUCUGUUUACAUGAGGAGUUUAGUAAGCAGUUGAACAAAAAUUCACUGGGAGUUUUCAGAGCCAUCCAAGAAAGCAAUAAACAGCAAGCACCAAGAUCCACAGCUUUAAAUUAAAACUUUUUGAAGGGCUUUUCAUUACUUUUCAUUACCAGGGGUUUCAUUACCAGGGGUCAGUGAAAUGGAAACAAAUUCAUUCUUAAGUUUCCCUAUGAACCCAUAAAGUCCAUUGUCAAGGGUAUAUUUUGUGCAGUGGCGUAGCUAGGCGCCUGGCUGCCCGGGGCGGCAAACCCAAAGGCUGGGGGCGGGA